rnacentral:tRNA from 1 species
GGCCAAAUGGUCUAGUGGUAUGAUUCUUGCUUUGGGGAAGGAUUGACUCCAUCUCGGCUGCAAGAGGUCCCGUGUUCAAUCCACGGUUUGGCCC